rnacentral:lncRNA from 1 species
ACGGGGCAGAGGGACUAUGUUGUGAGCCUGGGAAAGAAGUUUGUGUGGGGACUGUGGGCAGUGAACGCGUUGGGAACAAUAUGGAAAACUGGGAGCUGCCUUGGAAUCUACAGGGCCGGGCUGAAGAAAAGAAGAAUGGUAUUCACGCAGUUCCCAUUUUACAGAUGAAAACAAGAGGACUUUUUCUGUGAAGUCAGGAAAGUGGUUACAGUGGUACUUUCCGCCUGUCCAAAUUAUGUAUUGCCCCUCCCCUUUCUAUUAAUAACAUUGAAGUGUGAUGGGACAACCACUGAAGCCGUCAGUUGAAACCUGCUGGGACUUUUUAGCCAUUCUCUUCAACAUAAAGAAUGGGUGUUUUUGGAGGGGGUGAGAGGAAUGGGGAAAUGUUGUCAAAGAGUACAAUGUUUUAGUUGAGACAGGAAGAAUACAUUUUGUUGAGAUCUACAGCACAGCAUGGUGACUGUAGUUAACAAUGAAGUAUUGUGUAUUUCAAAAUUGCUAAGACAAUAAAUUUCAAAUGUUCUCACCACAAAAAA